CAAUAAAGCACUCAAGAAAGUAUUAUUACUGAUACAGGCCUUAACUGCGUUGUUUUUCAAAGAAGCAGGGCUAGCGACCCAUUCAGGGAAUAUUUACUGAGCAUCUACUAUGUGCCCCCCAGGCAUUAUUCUGGGCCAAGGGGUUAUAGCAGAGAACGAAGCAGAAAAAGUCCUGCCCUCCUCGAGCUAAUAUUUCCAUGAGAGCCUGGGAAGGGGCCCACAGAGCUGGCUCAUCCUGCCUCGGAUUGCUGGGUCCCCACCUGCUGUGCAGCACCCUUUGAGAGCCUGGACAGGAAGCGUUCCGGAAAU